rnacentral:RNase_P_RNA from 1 species
AGACUAUGCGAUAGCGUGUACGUUUAUGUCCACGAGGAAAGUCCGGGCAUCACAGAGCGGGGUAACUGCUAACGGCAGCCGGGGGCGACCCUAGGGCUAGUGCAACAGAAAAGAGACUGCCGUGCCUUUGGUACGGUGAUGGUGGAAUGGUGAGGUAAGAGCUCACCGGAGUGCAGGAGACUGCACUGCCGUGUAAACCCUACCCGAUGCAACGCCUAAUGGUGCUGUCUGUCAACGUCUGCUCGGCGGACAGGCAGUAAUGGCGGCUUGAGCGUUCCGGCGACGGUUCGCCUAGAUAAAUUAUCGCACACGACAGAACCCGGCUUAUCGGUCUGGUC